GACGAACGCUGGCGGCGUGCUUAACACAUGCAAGUCGAACGGAAAGGCCCUGCUUUUGUGGGGUGCUCGAGUGGCGAACGGGUGAGUAACACGUGAGUAACCUGCCCUUGACUUUGGGAUAACUUCAGGUAACUGGGGCUAAUACCGGAUAGGAGCUCCUGCUGCAUGGUGGGGGUUGGAAAGUUUCGGCGGUUGGGGAUGGACUCGCGGCUUAUCAGCUUGUUGGUGGGGGAGUGGCUUACCAAGGCUUUGACGGGUAGCCGGCCUGAGAGGGUGACCGGCCACAUUGGGACUGAGAUACGGCCCAGACUCCUACGGGAGGCAGCAGUGGGGAAUAUUGCACAAUGGGCGGAAGCCUGAUGCAGCAACGCCGCGUGCGGGAUGACGGCCUUCGGGUUGUAAACCGCUUUCGCCUGUGACGAAGCUGGAGUGACGGUAAUGGGUAAAUAAGCACCGGCUAACUACGUG
rnacentral:rRNA from 1 species